AACGUGGGUUCCGAGCGUUAUCCGGAUUUACUGGGCGUAAAGCGCGUUCAGGCGGUUUGGCAAGUCGGGCAUGAAAUCUCUCGGCUCAACCGGGAGAGGUUGUCCGAUACUGCUGGACUUGAGGGCAGUAGAGGGUGGUGGAAUUCCGGGUGUAGUGGUGAAAUGCGUAGAUAUCCGGAGGAACACCAGUGGCGAAAGCGGCCACCUGGACUGCACCUGACGCUGACACGCGAAAGCUAGGGGAGCGAACGGG
rnacentral:rRNA from 1 species